CCUACGGGGUGCAGCAGUGGGGAAUAUUGCACAAUGGGCGCAAGCCUGAUGCAGCCAUGCUGCGUGUAUGAAGAAGGGCUUCGGGUUGUAAAGUACUUUCAGCGGGGAGGAAGGCGAUAAGGUUAAUAACCUUGUCGAUUGACGUUACCCGCAGAAGAAGCACCGGCUAACUCCGUGCCAGCAGCCGCGGUAAUACGGAGGGUGCAAGCGUUAAUCGGAAUUACUGGGCGUAAAGCGCACGCAGGCGGUCUGUCAAGUCGGAUGUGAAAUCCCCGAGCUCAACCUGGGAACUGCAUUCGAAACUGGCAAGCUUGAGUCUCGUAGAGGGGGGUAGAAUUCCAGGUGUAGCGGUGAAAUGCGUAGAGAUCUGGAGGAAUACCGGUGGCGAAGGCGGCCCCCUGGACGAAGACUGACGCUCAGGUGCGAAAGCGUGGGGAGCAAACAGGAUUAGAUACCCUCGUAGUC
rnacentral:rRNA from 1 species